UGGGUUUGACAUCCUCUGACACCCCUGGAAACAGGGCUUUCCCGGCUCUGUCGGGACAGAGUGACAGGUGCUGCAUGGCUGUCGUCAGCUCGUGUCGUGAGAUGUUCGGUUAAGUCCGGCAACGAGCGCAACCCUUGUCUUCAGUUGCCAGCACGUAAAGGUGGGAACUCUGAAGAGACUGCCCCGGUUAACGGGGAGGAAGGUGGGGAUGACGUCAAGUCCUCAUGGCCCUUAUGUCUGGGGCUACACACGUGCUACAAUGGUAUGUACAAAGGGCAGCAAGCAUGCGAGUGCAAGCCAAUCCCUUAAAGCAUAUCCCAGUCCGGAUUGGAGUCUGCAACUCGACUCCAUGAAGUUGGAAUCGCUAGUAAUCGUGGAUCAGCAUGCCACGGUGAAUACGUUCCCGGGCCU
rnacentral:rRNA from 1 species